AGAGGUAUAAGUUAAGUUAUUUAAACUGUGUGGUUCAUGUUCACGUAAUAAGGGUUCUUUUCCUCUU
rnacentral:tRNA from 1 species